UAUACAUCUCUUUCAUCUCUUCUCUCACGACUCACCAUGGCCGCCCCCUCUGAAACUACCAUUCAACUAUCUCCAGAAGCUGAGGCCCAGUACGAGCGAAUCACCAGAAAUCUCCAAGAAGUAACUAGCGGGGAUGUCAUCAGGAAGGUCUUAAGCGAGGGGAAGGUCGUCAAAGCUUACUGGGGUACUGCUCCUACUGGCAGGCCCCAUAUCGCCUAUUGCGUCCCGUUGCUCAAGAUCGCCGACUUUUUGACUGCCGGUGUCAAUGUCAAGGUCUUGCUUGC
rnacentral:sRNA from 1 species